rnacentral:lncRNA from 1 species
AUGCAAAAGAAAAAAAAUCACUGGAUACAGGAAAUCAAGUCCUUGGGAGCUUCUGUGUUUGAACACACAGUACACACGGUUGCACUGUUUGGAUACCAUAUAUAGUGUCACGGUUUUUCUCUUCAACAUAAAUCAUUGACACUUUUUAUUCAAACACCUGUACUACUUAAUUAAAGCAAAUAGAAAAAUGGAAUGGACAAUUUGCUUUAGUGAAGCAGCGUUGACUGAAGAACCCAGUCAUGGAAAGAUGGCUGCUCUAAGAUGGUCGAGG